UGUUGGGUUAAGUCCCGCAACGAGCGCAACCCUUGAUCUUAGUUGCCAUCAUUAAGUUGGGCACUCUAAGGUGACUGCCGGUGACAAACCGGAGGAAGGUGGGGAUGACGUCAAAUCAUCAUGCCCCUUAUGACCUGGGCUACACACGUGCUACAAUGGACGGUACAAAGAGCUGCAAGACCGCGAGGUGGAGCUAAUCUCAUAAAACCGUUCUCAGUUCGGAUUGUAGGCUGCAACUCGCCUACAUGAAGCUGGAAUCGCUAGUAAUCG
rnacentral:rRNA from 1 species